ACAGCCGGCCAUGCUACCCUGAACAAGCCCAAUCCCAUCUGAUCUCGGACGUUAAGCAGGGUCGGGCCUGGUUAGUACUUGGAUGGGAGACCACCUAGGAAGAUCAGGUGCCGUAGGCA
rnacentral:rRNA from 1 species